UUUAGCCCUGAUUGAGGCGACAUCCUUUUUGUUUUUUUACAAAAAGAUAUAGCCGAAAGCAGGAAAUU
rnacentral:sRNA from 1 species